UUCGAGAUGGAGAGGAAACAUCCACCAUAAAGUUACUAUCAUGUAACUUCUCUUUUUUCCUGAUUCUCAGGUAAGAUCCGAAGUCAUCCUUCCAUAUCUCAGUUUAUAAGAUUAUUUAAGAACUGAUCUUAUAGAUUUAUUUUUGAAUGUUACUUUUCCAAAAUUGUCUUUUACACAUUUGGCCUAUUAUCAAUCUUCGAUUGAAUAAUAUUUUAAAGUUUAGAUUUACAUAACUGAUGAUAGAUACUAUUCUAUAGUCUACAUCUUAUUGAAUGUUUGAUUUUCUUAUGAUUGUUACUAACCAUCUACGAUUAUUGUUCAUGGUGGAGCACUUGUUAUUUAUGAUUGUCUAGCAGCGCGAGCAUGGUGCGAGUUUUAUAGUUGAGCCUUUUGAACUUUGCGAAUUACAAAUUUUAAGCAAGUCGCGAAUCCAAAACAACUAAACGGUAUUAUUCUGGUCAAGCGGAUAGGCUGAGUUCCCUAUCUUGCCGCGUUAAUACUGUGCGGACUCUAAUGUAUCUGAUUAAAGACUUUCCUGAAUAUCAUUGUGCUAAACCAUUCUAUUUUAUUGUUUUGAUAUUAUGUUACUGUAAAACCAUUUACUAAUCCUAGUUGAUAUGAAAAUAUUUGAGAUGAAGUUUGAUAUUUAAUAUUAGAAAUAUUUAAUCAAGUUUUGAUUAAAUCAUACACAACUUUCGAGAUGGAGAGGAAACAUCCACCAUAAAGUUACUAUCAUGUAACUUCUUCUUUUUCCUGAUUCUCAGGUCACUGGUCGUCUGACCAUGAACAGCUUCUACAUUUUACUAUAUCUGCACUGAGACCCUCAAUGUCAUUAUGUUAGUCUUACUAUCAGUAGUUGUUUCACAACUGUUUUAAAGUUAUGUCCAGUUAAGUAAAUUUUAAGUAUAAUUUGAACUAUAUGUUCAUACCUGUUCAAGUAACUAUGUAACUAGGAGUUACACCAUUUUUUAUAACUGUAAAUAUCAUGUAUAUAAUGUUAAUUUAGUUUAGAAUUAAAGGAACAUAUAUCCUUUAUAUAAUGAGUAUGUUAGUUUAUUUUAUUGAGUAUUAUGAUUUACAUUAAUUAAUAGCAUAGUGUGAAUGUUGUUGAUUGAUGGUGUUUGAUUAUGUGAUGUGUGAUUAUUACAUAGUAAAAUAAUUACAACCUAAUAGUGUUUUAUUUAAGUUCUACCUCUGUAGACGGACAGGGUGGGGAUUCUUCGUUUAAAAACCCUUCCGCUGCACUGUUCUGUUA